rnacentral:lncRNA from 1 species
GAGGCCUCUGCGCAGCUGUUCAGGUUCACCGUUGGGGCUUUGUGCUCUGUUAACUGCGAGCGUUUGUUAGUAGCCAUGUAGGCUGUGAGUGAAUGGGUUUACUGGAUUAUUUAUUUAUUUACUUGUUUAUUUAUAGACAGGGGCUCUCAAUGUAGCCCAGGCUGGCCAGGAACUUACUAUGUAGACCAGGCUGACUUUGAAUUCAGAUAUCUAUCCAGUUGCUUCUGCCCUCAGGGUUUAAAGGCACUUGCAUGGGUGUUUUUAGAAGAGCAGGUGAUAUUCAACAAGACAAGAACAUGGCUGCUUUUCUCUGUUCCCAGAGGACUGGCAGAGUUGUCCUGAUGUAUGUGGGCACAAAGGAGGAUGCCGUGCUAGGGUCAACGUUAAGGAAGAUAUUCAUCACAGAGCCUACACCAGGCAGACUCAGAGUUACCUGAUGUAUGGAGCAUGCUUCGCACCCGAUUUCCUAGAUGACAAAGCACAGAGGCACGGAUUAGGACAAUGUCACUGAUCAAGAUGUGAGCUCUCAGCUUUUCCAGCCACCAUGUCUUUGCUCUGCAAUCAUGAACUCUCUGGAACUGGAAACCCCAAACCACAUGCUUUCUUUUUUAUAAAUUGUCUCGGCCAUGGGGUUUUAUCACAGCAAUAGAACAGAAGCUAAGACAGAGUCCAUGGCCUUUUAUGUGCUAGGGAAGUGCUCUCCCAUUGGCCACACAGUCCCAGUCCAGUGACAUCAUUCUUCAUGAAUUUUCUUGAGACAAAUGUUGACUGAAUCAUCAACUAAGGGAACUUUUUCUGUGGUAAGCCAGGUCUUCUGGCACAGUGAUAACUAUUUUAUAAAUACAUCAUAUCUUGUCAUAACUAGAUUGCAAAUGGAGUCCACAGCACAUCGGUGUCAAAUGAGGAAAAUCUUGCAAAUAUUAACUCAUAUAAUCAGUUUUCAAGAUUCAUUAUAGUGGUAUAAGCCAAUCAUCCCAGGACAGGCUCCAUACCAGCCUUUAGAGUAAGACUCUGGGUAAACAAAAAGCUUCACAAGAAGUUCACAUGGCUGUGUGUGGUGGUACAUGCCUGUAAUCUCAGCACUCAGAAGACUGUUGCAAGUUCAAGGCCAGCCUAGUCUACACAGCAAGACCUGUCUUGAUGGGGGUUAGAGGUUAAGGGAAAGAGAGAUGGAACAGAAGACAAAAACCAGUCUUCUUCAUUACCUAUUUUUGCAUAAUUUAUUAUUAAAUGUUGUUAUUGUUAAUAAAGGAUGAUAAAAUGGAGACUUUAGUAAGGUUGAACUAGUAUGUAUGUGUAUAUGUAUAAAUAUAUAUUUACUUUUAAAAAACAUCAUUUGCUAUAUAUAAAGUUACUUAUAAGUACACUUCUAUAAAUAUGUCAUAAUA